rnacentral:rRNA from 1 species
GCGCGAAAACUUCACAAUGCACGAAAGUGUGAUGGGGGGACUCAAAGUGCUUAUACUUAUGGUAUAGGCUUUUGCUAAGUCAAAAUUGCUUGGCGAAUAAGUGGUGGGAAAGACUGGUGCCAGCCGCCGCGGUAACCCCAGCGCCACGAGUGGGAACCAGUAUUAUUGGGCUUAAAGCGUCCGUAGCAGGUUUGUUAAAUUGCUUGUGAAAUCGCAUCGCUCAACGAUGCGGAAUGCAGGUAACACUGGCAGACUAGAGACCGGGAGAAGUCAGAGGUAUUCAGGGGGGAGCGGUAAAAUGCGAGAAUCCUUUGAGGACCACCUGUGGCGAAGGCGUCUGACAAUAACGGGUCUGACUGUGAGGGACGAAAGCUAGGGGAGCGAACCGG